GACGAACGCUGGCGGCGUGCUUAACACAUGCAAGUCGAACGGAAAGGCCCUGCUUUUGUGGGGCGCUUGCGAGGCGAACGGGUGAGUAACACGUGUGUAACCUGCCCUUGACUUUGGGAGAACUUCACGGAACUGGGGCUAAUACCCGAUAGGAGCUUCUGCUGCACGGUGGGGGUUGGUAAGUUUCGGCCGUUGGGGCACGACUCGCGGGUUAUCAGCUUGUUGGUGGGGUAGUGGCUUACCAAGGCUUUCACGGAUAGCCGGCCUGUGCGGGUGGCCGGCCACAAUGGGCCUACGAUACGGCCCAGUCGGCUACGGGACGCAACGGGGGGAAGUAUUGCACAGUGGGCGGAAGCCAGUGACAGCAGCUCCGCGUGCGGGAUAACGGCCUUCGAGUUGAGAACCGCUUUCGCCUGAAACGAAGCCUGAGUGACGGUAAUGGGUAAAAAAGCACCGGCUAACUACGUG
rnacentral:rRNA from 1 species